UCCGCACGACUGCAGCGCAGCCCGCCGAUCCCCGGUUCCGCUCCCCACGUUCCGCACGACUGCGGCGCAGCCUGCCUGGCCGUCUACGCCCGCCUCCCUCCGACAUUACCCUCAAAUGCGGUGAGCUUCUCCUCCCUCCGCGGUUGCUCCUCACCACCGCAUUCUCCCUGGCGACGAGACGUCAUCCCUGAUCCCUACCACGAGCGGAGCGUUGCCGGCCUCCGUUCCAUCGACGACAUCGCCGUCGCGUGCGGAGCGCCGCCCGGCCGCCUUCCCAUUGACGACGCACGGGUCGACGCCAUCCCCGCCGCGUUCGAUCGAAGCGCCUCCCGGCCCACCUCGCAUCGACGCCGUGUGGAGUGACGGCAAAGCCCCGCUGCUCGGUGCCACGCGGAGCCUUGGCCGGCCACAGUCCGAUCCAUCCUUGCUGCCGACGCAACGUCUGCGCCGGUCUCUUCCGAGUUUGGACACAGACGUCGCCUCCGUCCUCCCCUUCUGCACCCGACACGGCCUCAGCCUGAUCGGCUCCUCCCACACGCUGCCACAACAGGCCCAGCUCUGUGCUCCCCAUCUCCGCCACCCCCGAUGCGGACUCCGCCGCUGCAACCCAGCUGCAGCUCUGCAUGGAAGGCAGGAAGGAUGGAGGAGGCGGUAGACGUGCUGAUCUGGUACGUUGUGUUUCAGCCUUCAGCUGAUCUGGUGGAUUCAAGUCCUCUGGAUGCCGUCAAUCGCCCCUAUAACCUAUGCACAAGGCAUGUUCGAACGUUUGCCUCACACAAUUCUGAGUUUUUUUGCUUGCACAUCUUACUUGUGUCAAGCGUUGGCUUUCUGCAUUGGGUCUGCCUGAUUGAUUGGCACAAAAAAUCAUUGCUUGCUAUGUUUCUGCUUCGUCUAAAAACUAUACAAUUAAGAUGCCUUCACUUGAAAUUUUUAUGUGUUCCCCAUUUUUGGCUGGAUUUGUGAAAUGAUGCUAUAUUAACAAUGUUUUAGGCAAACAACUGGAUGCAGCUUCAAUUUGGAGAUAUAGAACUGUAAUUGGUUGGGCAUGGUGAUUUAACGGGUACUUCUUUGCUAUGAGGUACCGGGUGACAUGCUUGCUCACGCACACUGCAAGGUCCUAUUACCAGCACCAAGCAUGGCAUGCCAGUGUUUUCACUUUCCAAGCUCUCAUUUCAAUCAAGCAGGUAAGAAAUAGGCGCAUUCCUUCCCAGCAUUGGCGAAGGAUCAAGGGUUCUACCAGGAUUCCAGCAGGUACAAAGGAUGAAGGUGGUCAGUUUAACCAGCCUUGUCUUGAAAAGGCAUGCAUGUCUCGGACUGCUCGUUGCCAAGACGAUUGGCACCCCUAAUUCUACACCCCACUUUUGUACUCCGCCGUGCUGCCGGUUUCCCACGUACCGGAGAUCUACAUUCGUGGUUGAUAUGGUGAUUUCAUGUUGCGAACCAGUACUGCUUAGGUCUUGUUUAGAUCCAAACUUCAAAAUUCCAAAAGAUUUAUAAA